rnacentral:rRNA from 1 species
GCCGGGCCGUGCCACUCUGAACAACCCCAAUUUCUGAUCUUGGAAGCUAAGCAGGAUCAGGCCUGGUUAGUACUUGGAUGGGAGACCACGUAGGAAGACCAGGUGCUGUAGGCA